AACGAACGCUGGCGGCAGGCCUAACACAUGCAAGUCGAACGCUGCAGCAAUGCAGAGUGGCAGACGGGUGAGUAACGCGUGGGAACCUUCCCAAUGGUACGGAAUAGCCCAGGGAAACUUGGGGUAAUACCGUAUAAGCCCCAUGGGGGAAAGAUUUCUCGCCAUCGGAUGGGCCCGCGUCGGAUUAGCAAGUUGGUGAGGUACAGGCUCACCAAGGCGACGAUCCGUAGCUGGUUUGAGAGAAUGACCAGCCAACCUGGGACUGAGACACGGCCCAGACUCCUACGGGAGGCAGCAGUGGGGAAUCUUGGACAAUGGGCGAAAGCCUGAUCCAGCCAUGCCGCGUGAGUGACGAAGGCCUUAGGGUUGUAAAGCUCUUUUGGCGGGGACGAUAAUGACGGUACCCGCAGAAUAAGUCCCGGCUAACUUCGUGCCAGCCGCCGCCGUAA
rnacentral:rRNA from 1 species